CGGUCAUCUUCACUUGAGACAUUUACCUGUGUGUGUGGGAGAGGCUCUUUCCUAUAAAUUUGCGUCAUGAGAAUGUAUAUUACGUUCCCCGGGACCCACGGCAGCAUCAUCAUAGAGGAUGGACUGGUUGGAUCUCCUUGCAGUCCAAGGGACUCUCAAGAGUCUUCUUCAACACCACUGCUGUGAUUCAAAGUCCCACCAGUUCUUAUGAACCACCAUGAGUUUCCAGCUCCUAUUAAAAUGGUUGUAAUGAGGAUUCCCUGGUGGCCCAAGAAUCCACCUGCUAAUGCAGGAGACGCAGGUUUGAUCCCUGACCUGGGAAGACCCCACAUGCAUCAGAGCAACUAGGCCCAUGUGCCACAGUUGCUGAGUCAGUACUCUAGAACCCCCGAGCUGCAACAAGAGAAACCACUGCAACAAGAAGCUGUGUACUGCAGUGAAGAGCAGCGCCCACUCGCUGCAACUGGAGAAAAAGCCCACA